rnacentral:rRNA from 1 species
AACGAACGCUGGCGGCAUGCCUAACACAUGCAAGUCGAACGAGACCUUCGGGUCUAGUGGCGCACGGGUGCGUAACGCGUGGGAACCUGCCCUUAGGUUCGGAAUAACUCCCCGAAAGGGGUGCUAAUACCGGAUAAUGUCUUCGGACCAAAGAUUUAUCGCCUUUGGAUGGGCCCGCGUUGGAUUAGCUAGUUGGUAGGGUAAAAGCCAACCAAGGCGACGAUCCAUAGCUGGUCUGAGAGGAUGAUCAGCCACACUGGGACUGAGACACGGCCCAGACUCCUACGGGAGGCAGCAGUGGGGAAUAUUGGACAAUGGGCGAAAGCCUGAUCCAGCAAUGCCGCGUGAGUGAUGAAGGCCUUAGGGUUGUAAAGCUCGUUUACCCGGGAUGAUAAUGACAGUACCGGGAGAAUAAGCUCCGGCUAACUCCGUG